GACGAACGCUGGCGGCGUGCUUAACACAUGCAAGUCGAACGGAAAGGCCCUGCUUUUGUGGGUGCUCGAGUGGCGAACGGGUGAGUAACACGUUAGUAACCUGCCCUUGACUUUGGGAUAAAUUCAGGAAACUGGGGCUAAUACCGGAUAGGAGCUCCUGCUGCAUGGGGGGGGUUGGAAAGUUUCGGCGGUUGGGGAUGGACUCGCGGCUUAUCAGCUUGUUGGUGGGGUAGUGGCUUACCAAGGCUUUGACGGGUAGCCGGCCUGAGAGGGUGACCGGCCACAUUGGGACUGAGAUACGGCCCAGACUCCUACGGGAGGCAGCAGUGGGGAAUAUCGCACAAUGGGCGGAAGCCUGAUGCAGCAACGCCGCGUGCGGGAUGACGGCCUUCGGGUUGUAAACCGCUUUCGCCUGUGACGAAGCGUGAGUGACGGUAAUGGGUAAAGAAGCACCGGCUAACUACGUG
rnacentral:rRNA from 1 species